AGCUUUGUGCAGUGGCAGUAUCGUAGCCAAUGUGGUUUAUCUGAGGUGUAAUUAUUGCUAAUUGAAAACUUUGCCUAAAAUAUUAAACUUUAUCUAGAAAACUUGAUAUGUUCGUUUAUUAAUUCUAAUAAUUUAC